GGGUGUAGACCGUAACCUGGUAGCGGGCCGCGUUUGGGACGCGGUGCGAAAGCCUUGCAGGUUCAAAUCCUGUCUCCCCG
rnacentral:tRNA from 1 species